GCGCGAAACCUCCACAAUGUACGUAAGUACGAUGGGGUUAUCUCGAGUGCAGUCCGAUAAGGGCUGCUUUUCCAUAGAGUAAUAUCCUGUGGGAAUAAGAGGGGGGCAAGACUGGUGUCAGCCGCCGCGGUAACACCAGCCCCUCGAGUGGUGGGGACUAUUAUUUGGUCUAAAGCGUCCGUAGCUGGCUGUAUCCGUCUCCCGGUAAAUCCGGCGUCCUAAGCGUCGGCCAUCGGGUGAUACCAUACAGCUAGAGGGUGGGACAGGUGAGCGGUAUUUCUGGGGUAGGGGCGAAAUCCUUUGAUCCCAGGAGGACCACCAGUGGCGAAGGCUGCUCACUAGAACACGCCUGACGGUCAGGGACGAAAGCUGGGGCAGCGAACCGGAUUAGAUACCCGGGUAGUCCCAGCUGUAAACGAUGCUAGCUAGGUGUUGGGUCGGCCACGCGCCGCCCCAGUGCCGCAGGGAAGCCGUUAAGCUAGCCACCUGGGGAGUACGGCCGCAAGGCUGAAACUUAAAGGAAUUGGCGGGGG
rnacentral:rRNA from 1 species